CUGCUGUGGUCCUUGGCACCACCAGCAUGGGAGCCCAACACCACUACAAUUGCAGCAGUAUUUAACCUCCUGGUGGAUCUGAGGCCAGCAACAGAGCUGGGUACACAGCACCGGUGAGAAACCACUCUUCAGGAAACACUCAAGCAGUCCAGAGACAGGCAUUGGUAACUGAGGGAACAUCACUGCUGUUAGUACUAAGCUAACACAGCAGAGUCACAGAGCAAAGGCCGGAGCUGUGGCAGCCACGGUACCAGGCACCAAACAAGACAGUGACAAUGCAGCCUGACGAGUCGUGCCAGCACAGAGAUCCAGAGCUGCAGAUGCCAGGAGCAUUGGCCUUUAUCUGCAAGCUGAUGGGCAAAUCUGUUGAGCUAAGAGAAGAGUAGGCGCAGUUCACAAAUCUGAAGAAGAGAACAAGAUGUUUCCUGGCAAGACAAAAGGAGUAAAAAGAACGUUUUCUCACCCACUUGCUGCUUGCACUGCUACUUUCCCCUUAACUUGGCUCUGAAGUCAGACUGGCUGACCACCUUCUCUGCUAAGAAAACUCCAAAAAUAGCACACACAAAUGCAGCGGAUUGUACUUUGGAACACACCAUGGACAACGGUCUUUGUUCACUGCUCACACCACAGCAGUACACUCACACUUGGUAGAUGAACACAAGGACAAACGUAGGCCACACAUGCAGAGAAGAAGAUAUUCAGACAUAAGAGAUAUCAUAGACGUCAUCCUCAGAGUCAGAAAAUGAAUACCUAUUAAAGCAGCCUGCAAGUGCUGGGGUACAGCUCAAUAGGAACCAGAUGGGCUAAGGAAAAACAGCUUCAUGGGAAAGCUUAGAAGGUGGUGGUGGUUGUUUUUUUUUUCCCCCCACUAAAUUGUCUGAUGACUCAUUAAAGAGAAAUCUUUGUGAUGUAACUAUUCAGUUAGGCAUGGGACUUAUACAAAGAACUCUCAUAAUCAGCUCUCCAAGUAAUCCUCUGAUCACCAUCUGGAGCUCAAUCUAAAUCCUGAUCUCAGUUACGCUAAGCGCCCGUGCACCUCUGAAACCAAGAAUUUGGUACAAACACACCUGAGAUGAACCACAUCCUGACAGCGAGUUCACAGAGAGGUACAAGAGAACAGAAAAUGCAAAAAACCUGAUCUGCCUUUUACUCCUCGAGCUCUUCACAGACAUCUCUACAAGUGCACGUUGAGGAAUAGCCACAGACUGUGCCGGAGGCAACUCCUGUCCAUCACAUCUAGGGAGAGGUUUCAAAAUGAGUAAGUAGAAAGGCAGGACUUAAAAGCACAAUGCUGCAGCUAAAGCAAAAUGUUUCUUCUGGCAAGCAAAAAAAAAAAACAAGCAGAGUUACAAAAAAACAUAUGCAAGGAAUCAGCUAUUUUAUAAGUAACUCAAAACAUAUUACCACUGCAGCAUGCAGAAAUUCCUUCACCUGAAGCACCACACAUCAGCAGGGCUUUUCAGCUGUAGUUAGUUCUUUGAUGGUGGAUUUUUUUCUCCUGAUUACCUGGAGCUCCUAUUCUAUAUACAUCCAUGGGGCAAACAGGAAAGUCUGAGAUGCCUCCCACUGACAAAGCCUCUUAGCUGGAGAAAUGAGUUCUCUUGUAUACAGUGCUUGGUGUCACAUGCCGGGCUGCCCACAGCAAAGCACUCAAGACUGAGAUGUGUCACAUCGCCGAGGAACGCAUCUCAUCUCAUCAGUUCCGGAGGAAUUCUCCUCUUCUCAAAGCAGUUUAUCAAACACCUUUUAGACCUCUGCAAGAAAGUCCAUCACAGCAAGGAAAGAGGCACGGAGUAAGCUGAAAACACCCAAGCAAGUACGCUUAGUUCAUACUUGACAGCAAAUGCUUACAAGAAUAAGGAUACUUUUUUUCUUGGUUUGGUUGUUGUUGCUAUUCUCCAAAUUACAAUGUAUAUUAAAACCAGAAAGCUUUCUGUGCUGGAAGGAAGGAAGAGCCAGCGACUGCUGGCUUACUGGCACACACAGUUUCUUCCAGCUAAAGGUAUGUUUAAGUAUAAACGGGAGUUAGAUUAGAAAGCCAACCAGAUGUGGCAAAGGCAGACUCGAGUCAUUUCACUGUGAGUGGAGGUACAACCCCAAUUACCCACUCACAGCAUGCAGCAGAGACUACCAACAGUCAACACCAGUAUACUACAGGAUGCUUCAAGAUCACAACGCAAGAACAAACCAAAAAGAGCUAACACCUUUUACAUUCUUGAUUCAUACUUGUCUGGAAAUUGUGUUAAUUAAUCUCUAUCUAAUUUGUAUGUAAGGAGGCACUAGAGGCCAAGCCUCCUGGUGACAGUUAGCUGGUGGGGAGCGCAGACUGCUCCAGUCUGGAGGGUGAGACUUUUACCUUGUCAUUAUCUUUGGCACAGUACUUCCCUCCUGGUUCCAGCAACUGACAUUCAUAAGGGUUGCACAAGACCAAAGUCCUGUGCAGCAAGUAAAUAUUUAACUUCAGCACUGUACUGUGGGGACCCACCUAGAGCAUUGGCUAUAGGAGCCUACUUACACUGUCUGUUCUAAGCAGGAAUAAUCAAUGGCAAUUUAUCUUCUUUAUGAGAAGUCAUAAACUCUACAAGGACGGCAGUUAAGCUUUAGUUCUAAUAAUUUUAACAGAGGACCCAAAAGUGAAUACUCCCAGGAAAGGAGAUCUAAGCAAUGUGAUAGGUACUCCAGAACAGGUUCAGGAGGGGGGGCAGAGGCCACAGUGCAAAGGUCAUUUACAACCUAAGCAUGCGGAGUUCCAGAAGCUCAAGAAAAAGCAUUUUAUCACUGCAAUCCUACCAGUAAAGUUUGCCACCAAGUCUUACAUAAAGUUCUUGGACUUCACAAGGCAAAGCAUUUACUCUCCACUGAAUAUCUACAAACUGCUGCACCACCACAGACUUAGAAAUAAUGCGAUUAGCAUGGAGGCUGAUGUUUGUUUCCAGGCACAAAGCCUGCUCUUAGUCUUAGUGUAACAUGUUUAGAUCCCAGCGAUGUUCUUUGCGUUCCUCCAACGUAAAUUACUGCUAAUAGUCUCACUCCAGGCAGAGAUCUUUCUGAUGCCUCCAACAGCUCUAAAAAUAAAGUUCCAAUCAGAAGCCAUUCAGAGCAAUUACCUGUUUACUCCAUUCCAAUUGUUAUACCACCUGUUUCCUUUAUCUGAAUGUGACUUAUUUAUUUUUUCUCAAGUGCCCCCAUUUAUACUGUUUUGAACACCAGUUUCAGCAACGAUUCUUAUUGGCAACAAUCACUACUAUAGGUAAAUUUCUUAUACUUCUGCAAUGCUGCACUUCCAGCCCUUCACACUCUGAUGCUAACGCAGACCAGCCCCAAACGCAAAGCUUUCCAGGAAACAAAUCAAAGCACCUACAUUGCUUUUUGUGGGGUGUGAGGGGGCCAAGAAUACCGGCCCAUGAUGAAAUAAGGAGGCAGACAGUGCCGCACAGCUUUAACUAAAUUGAGCAGGACCAGAGGGGAGCAGGGAACAAGAUUUUCCAGUUUCAAGCAAGAAGAAUAAGGAAAAGCAAAGCCAGGAGGGCAGCUCACCUGUCCAAGGAACCGCAGCCUCGGGCACGCUUUCAGAAGCUGCUGUAAAGCCUGGAAUCCGAGCAGUGCCCAGCUGGGCGGGCCUGCCGCUCCCUCUUACACACAGCCUCUGCUCACUGCGCUUCCAUCCAGCGCUGAGCGCUGCCAGCAGGGAGCCAGCCAGCCACGCAGGCACCCACACCCAGAGGCAAUGAAAGGAGGAGACAGGUGUAAGGACAGCCUACCUUUGGCACAGUACAACUAGAGGGCAGAAGAAAGGAACACGAAGCAGUAAGGCGAUCUCAGCACUGUCACGCAGCAGAACUCCCACGAGAGGGGAGGGUGAUGGGUUCCAACCCACUUUCUCCCCACGUUUCCCUUCCUUUGCGCUACGCUGCGGGCACGUUGCUCACACCACCUCCAUCUCCACCGAGCGGGACCACGGAGCAGGGGCUGACCCCAUCGGCCGUCACACCAGAAAACCACAACAACUACGGCAGGCAUUUGUUAAUACCGACGAUGGCAGCGCGGCACCGGAGCGUGCGGAGAUGUUCCGACCUGCCGACGGCCUCCGAAGCGUUCCAUCCAGACGGGAUUACGACACAGCGCAGCCUCAGCAAUAAUCCGCUUCGGGGCUGCCUGCAGACGUACCCAAAAGCUUCCACCCGCCCGCUAAGAGGCGACGUGCAGCGGACGCCCCAAAGCCCUUAACAGGCGGUGCCAGCCCGCACCCCCGACGGCACUGACACACAGCUACCGCCGCCAUGCAACUUCAGCUCCUCAAACGCGCUAAACUUCUUUUUGUCGUGCGUGCCAACCUGGGAGCUACGGCCUUACAACGAGGCAGCUCCCGGCUCGACCGGCGCACAGCCCGGCUCCCCCCGCCCCCGACCCGGAGCAGAGCCUCAGCCGCCGCACCUCCCGCCCGCCGCCCGCUCCCGG
ensembl:lncRNA